UGGGAAGAUUGUCGAGUAUCAUAACAUUGCUAGUGAUCUCAAGUAUCGAGAAUUUAUCUUGUACAAACCACAGAACGGUGGAUGUGAAGAGGGUUCCAUCAUUACUUCCAUUGGUUUCCUAAAGGAAGCUCCACUGGUGAAUAUUCAUGGUUUCAGUGUCUACUACAAGAAUCGUUUGAUACUGCCAUUUUGGCAUGUGGUAGUAGGCUUUUCUGUCAAUAGAAGCAGAGGGGUUGUAGGUGUUCUAGAAGCAAAUUUUAUUAAGCCAACUCAUAAUAAACAGGACUUUGAGAAAACUCCCCUCUUUCACAAGCUUGAGCACCGAUUAAAAGAGAUGACAUGGGAGUACUGGGACCAUCACUGUGGAUUAAUUGGUUAUCAUGCAACUAAACAGCUUCGUGCACCUUCUCAG
rnacentral:misc_RNA from 1 species